rnacentral:rRNA from 1 species
AUUGAACGCUGGCGGCAUGCCUUACACAUGCAAGUCGAACGGCAGCACGGGAGCAAUCCUGGUGGCGAGUGGCGAACGGUGAGUAAUAUAUCGGCACGUGCCCAGUCGUGGGGAUAACGUAGCGAAAGCUACGCUAAUACCGCAUACGAUCUAUGGAUGGAAAGCGGGGGAUCGCAAGACCUCGCGCGAUUGGAGCGGCCGAUAUCAGAUUAGGUAGUUGGUGAGGUAAAGGCUCACCAAGCCGACGAUCUGUAGCUGGUCUGAGAGGACGACCAGCCACACUGGGACUGAGACACGGUCCAGACUCCUACGGGAGGCAGCAGUGGGGAAUUUUGGACAAUGGGCGCAAGCCUGAUCCAGCAAUGCCGCGUGCAGGAUGAAGGCCU